rnacentral:misc_RNA from 1 species
GGAAGGGAAAGAAGGACGAAUCGUGCUUACACCAAUUGACCAUGGCUACUGCUUGCCUGAGAAUUUUGAAGAUUGCACCUUUGAUUGGCUCUAUUGGCCACAAGCCCGUAAACCUUACUCUCCAGAAACUAUCAAGUAUAUCAAAUCACUGGAUGCUGAACAAGACAUCGGCCUUCUUAAAUUUUACGGAUUGGAUUUGUCUGUUGAAUGUGCUCGUACUCUUCG